CCUACGGGUGGCAGCAGUAGGGAAUAUUGCUCAAUGGGGGAAACCCUGAAGCAGCAACGCCGCGUGGAGGAUGAAGGUUUUCGGAUUGUAAACUCCUUUUGGUAGAGAAGAGAAUGACGGUAUCUAACGAAUAAGCACCGGCUAACGCCGUGCCCGCAGCCGCGGGAAUACGGAGGGGGAAAGCGUUCCUCGGAAUCACUGGGCGUAAAGAGCGCGUAGGCGGGAUCGCAAGUCAGAUGUUAAAUCCUAGGGCUUAACCCUAGAACUGCAUUUGAAACGGUUAUUCUAGAGUAUGGGAGAGGUCGGUGGUAUUCUUUGUGUAGGGGUCACAUCCGUAGAGAUCACGCGGAAUACUCAUUGCGACGGCGACCUGCUAGAACAUACCUGACGCUGAUGCGCGACAGCGUGGGGCGCAAACAGGAUUAGAUACCCUGGUAGUC
rnacentral:rRNA from 1 species